GAACGUACGCUGGCGGCACGCCUAACACAUGCAAGUCGAACGAAGUAGCAAUACUUAGUGGCAGACGGGUGAGUAACAUGUAGGUAUCUGCCCUUUGGCCUGGAAUAACACGAGGAAACUUGUGCUAAUACCGGAUAAGUCUUUACAGAGAAAGCUUUAUGCACCAUUGGAUGAGCCUGCACUUGAUUAGUUUGUUGGUGGGGUAAUGGCCUACCAAGACUGUGAUCAAUAGCUGAUUUGAGAGGAUGAUCAGCCACAUUGGGACUGAGACACGGCCCAAACUCCUACGGGAGGCAGCAGUGGGGAAUCUUGCACAAUGGAGGAAACUCUGAUGCAGCGAUGCCGCGUGAGUGAAGAAGGCCUUUGGGUUGUAAAGCUCUUUCGUCGGGGAAGAAAAUGACUGUACCCGAAUAAGAAGGUCCGGCUAACUUCGUGCCAGCAGCCGCGGUAAUACGAAGGGACCUAGCGUAGUUCGGAAUUACUGGGCUUAAAGAGUUCGUAGGUGGUUGAAAAAGUUAGUGGUGAAAUCCCAGAGCUUAACUCUGGAACUGCCAUUAAAACUUUUCAGCUAGAGUAUGAUAGAGGAAAGCAGAAUUUCUAGUGUAGAGGUGAAAUUCGUAGAUAUUAGAAAGAAUACCAAUUGCGAAAGGCAGCUUUCUGGAUCAUUACUGACACUGAGGAACGAAAGCAUGGGUAGCGAAGAGGAUUAGAUACCCUCGUAGUCCAUGCCGUAAACGAUGUGUGUUAGACGUUGGAAAUUUAUUUUCAGUGUCGCAGGGAAACCGAUAAACACACCGCCUGGGGAGUACGACCGCAAGGUUAAAACUCAAAUGAAUUGACGGGGACCCGCACAAGUAGUGGAGCAUGUGGUUUAAUUCGAAGAUACGCGCAGAACCUUACCAACACUUGACAUGUUCGUCGCGACUCUAAGAGAUUAGAGUUUUCGGUUCGGCCGGACGAAACACAGGUGCUGCAUGGCUGUCGUCAGCUCGUGUCGUGAGAUGUUGGGUUAAGUCCCGCAACGAGCGCAACCCUCACUUUUAGUUGCCAUCAUUAGGUUGGGCACUCUGAAAGAACUGCCAGUGAUAAGCUGGAGGAAGGUGGGGAUGACGUCAAGUCCUCAUGGCCCUUACGUGUUGGGCUACACACGUGCUACAAUGGUAUCUACAACAGGAAGCAAGACUGCGAAGUUAAGCAAAUCCCUAAAAGAUACCUCAGUUCGGAUUGCACUCUGCAACUCGAGUGCAUGAAGCUGGAAUUACUAGUAAUCGUGGGUCAGCGUGCCACGGUGAAUGCGUUCCCGGGUCUUGUACACACCGCC
rnacentral:rRNA from 1 species